CCCGCAAGGGCACCGGCAGACGAGGUAGUAACACGUAGGUACGCACCCCAAAGUCGGGCAUAGCUACUCGAAAGAGUAGGUAAUUCCCGAUAGUCUCGUAAGAGUAAAGAUUUAUCGCUUUGGGAGCGGCCUGCGGAGUAUCAGCUAGUUGGUGAGGUAAUGGCUCACCAAGGCUAUGACGCUUAGGGGCGCUGAGAGGCGGACCCCCACCGAUGGAACUGAGACACGGUCCAUACACCUACGGGUGGCUGCAGUCAAGAACCUUCCGCAAUGGGCGAAAGCCUGACGGAGCGACGCCGCGUGGUUGAUGAAGUCCUUCGGGACGUAAAAACCUUUUGUAGACUAGAAAGUUAUUGAUCAGUCUAAGAAUAAGGGGUUGCUAAACUCGUGCCAGCAGCAGCGGUAAUACGAGUGCCCCGAGCGUUAUCCGGAAUUAUUGGGCGUAAAGCGUGUGUAGGUGGUUUUGUUAGUCUCCUGCGAAAUUCUUCGGCUUAACCGGGGCGUGAUGGGAGAAACGGCAAAACUUGAGGGUGCGAGGGGUCUAUAGAACUCUAGGUGUAGGGGUGAAAUCCGUUGAUAUCUAGGGGAAUACCAAAAGCGAAGGCAGUAGACUGGCGCAUUCCUGACACUGAGACACUAAAGCGUGGGUAGCGAAUGGGAUUAGAUACCCCAGUAGUCCACGCCCUAAACGAUCCUUUCUUGUUUUGGGGAGUAUCGACCCUCUCCGAGACGAAGCUAACGCGUUAAGAAAGGCGCCUGGGUAGUACGGCCGCAAGGCUAAAACUCAAAGGAAUAGACGGGGACUUGCACAAGCAGUGG
rnacentral:rRNA from 1 species